rnacentral:rRNA from 1 species
CCAAUAGCGUAUAUUAAAGUUGUUGCAGUUAAAAAGCUCGUAGUUGAAUUUCGGGAUCAAUAUUUCGGUCAUGCCGUUGGUAUGCACUGUUAUCAUUGAUUUCUCACCUUCUAAAGAACCGUGAUGCCAUUAAUUUGGUGUUACGGGGAAUUAGGACUGUUACCUUGAAAAAAUUAGAGUGUUUAAAGCAGGCUCACGCUUGAAUACAUUAGCAUGGAAU